rnacentral:lncRNA from 1 species
ACUGCAAAUAGCAAUGAAGGGUGCGUUCCGAAAUCUACUGCCAGUACUGACAGUACUGUUUUUUUCGUUCCGAAAUCGUUUUCAGCGUGCUGUCAGCAACUGUAAAUUACUAUCUAUUCUACAAAAAUAGACCCUAGGGAAUUACUGACUUCCGGCUAAUAGCGUUUUUCACUGGCAAGAACUAAGUGCGCACUAGAAACUCGUCGAGUUCAGGCGACACUGUCGGAGUGCACUGAAAGUGCGAGUUUUUUGCAUUCCCAACUAAACACGUCUGUUAUUCUCAGUGCCAUCUCAGUGCAGUUUUGUGGCGUAUUUGGGCGUAUUGUGCUACUGUAUAACCAUGGAAAGUUUGACCGAUUUGACUAUUUCUUUUAAAGUCAACAAUGAUAUAAUAAAUAUUACUCUUCAGCCGCUUGAAAUAGAUUUGUUUAAUAAAUUAAAGAGUAAGUACAUACAUACAUCUUGGAUUUUGAGGUUAUUCCAGUGCACAUAUUCGAAAGAACAUUCGAAAAGAAUAUUGAUGAAAAUUUUAUUUCAGGAAAACAAGCAUAGUAAAGAACGUUCUCAAUCCAAGGUCUGAUUAAAAUAAUAGGCAAGCGAGAAGAAAAUCAAUAAAAAUGUAUGUAUCUUAAAAUCUGUGCGCGAGGUAUGAGCGCGUGUGAGAAGGACCGAAAAAUACGAACGAACGAGGGGAAAAUUGGCUCUAGUCUCUUUUCUUUUUAACAAUUAUUUAUUGCAAAUAUCAAUUAACAAAUUAAACUCUUAUGCCGCGAGAUUGAAUUUCGCGAGAAGCGAAGCGGUCGCGAAGAACGAGAUGGUCGCGAUAGAACAAUACGGUCGCGAAGAGCGAAGCGGUCACGAUGCGGACGUGAUAGAUUCUUACGGCAGAAUAAUGAAAAAAACGACGCGAAUGAUAGACAAAAGAAACGAGGUGGUAAUGAAUGAAGCUCGGAGCAUCUUUCCGUUGCCGGGUAACUCAAUGCGCGUACUUUAAACAUUUCCUUAUUAGGCAAUGUAUGAUUUCCAGACCUUUAAAACAAAUUCCUAUGUGGGGUCACGGCCACUGCUGAUUAAAGCCCCGUGCACAAUAAUUCCGAAUCCGAGCAUUAAUUCCGAUUCUGAACAAAAUCUUUAUUGUAAAAUUAUUAAUUAAAAUAUUAUAUAUUCCUUGAAAUUAUUAAUUAUGUAUCAUAUUAAAAAUAUAUAAUUAUUAAUUAUGUAUUAUAUUAAAUAUAUAUAUAUAAUGGAUUAUAAUGGAUAUUAUUUGUUUACAAAGGAACACUGUUUGUUGUAAUAUAUGCGAAUAAUAUUUAUAAUUAUAAAAAAAAAAAA